UGGGGAAUUUUGCGCAAUGGACGAAAGUCUGACGCAGCGACGCCGCGUGUGCGAUGAAGGCCUUUGGGUCGUAAAGCACUGUCGACCGGGACGAGAACUCACGGACUAAUACUUCGUGAGUCUGACGGUACUGGUAAAGGAAGCACCGGCUAACUCUGUGCCAGCAGCCGCGGUAAUACAGAGGGUGCAAACGUUGCUCGGAAUUAUUGGGCGUAAAGCGCGUGUAGGCGGCUUGUUAAGUUGGUUGUGAAAACCCAUGGCUCAACCAUGGAAGUGCGUCCAAAACUGGCAAGCUAGAGUUCUGACGAGGAUGGCGGAAUUCCCAGUGUAGAGGUGAAAUUCGUAGAUAUUGGGAGGAACACCGGUGGCGAAGGCGGCCAUCUGGGAAGAUACUGACGCUGAGACGCGAAAGCGUGGGGAGCAAACAGGAUUAGAUACCCCGGUAGUCCCUGAGCGGGCUGGCAAGGCGCAU
rnacentral:rRNA from 1 species